UACAGAGGUCUCAAGCGUUGUUCGGAUUCAUUGGGCGUAAAGGGUGCGUAGGCGGCGCGGUAAGUCGGGUGUGAAAUCUCGGGGCUUAACUCCGAAACUGCAUUCGAUACUGCCGUGCUUGAGGACUGGAGAGGAGACUGGAAUUUACGGUGUAGCGGUGAAAUGCGUAGAUAUCGUAAGGAAGACCAGUGGCGAAGGCGGGUCUCUGGACAGUUCCUGACGCUGAUGCACGAAAGCUGGGGGAGCAAACAGG
rnacentral:rRNA from 1 species